GGAUUAUGGCUCAGUGGUAGAGUGCUUGCCUAGCAUGCAUGAGGCACUGGGUUCGAUCCUCAGAACCA
rnacentral:tRNA from 1 species